rnacentral:rRNA from 1 species
UUGCCCUAGUAACGGCGAGUGAAGCGGCAACAGCUCAAAUUUGAAAUCUGGCUUUCGGGCCCGAGUUGUAAUUUGUAGAGGAUACUUUUGAUGCGGUGCCUUCCGAGUUCCCUGGAACGGGACGCCAUAGAGGGUGAGAGCCCCGUCUGGUUGGAUGCCAAAUCUCUGUAAAGUUCCUUCGACGAGUCGAGUUGUUUGGGAAU